CCCCCGUCUCCCUCGGGCGCCGCUCCCCUGCCAGUUCCACAGUGACAAUAUGAGAUAGCGCAUCCGAAGAAGCACAGCCAAAUAUUUGAUUUGGACGAUUACACUGAAGAUGCCUCAUCACAACUGUGGGUGCCCAGAUUACCAACUCCUUGCUCUUGGCUCCCGCACACUUUGCAUGCUUGUAUGUAUAGAUGCCACCAUCGAAUGUAUAUUGGGAUAAAGAGAAGACCAACCCAACUCUUCUGCUCACUAUCAGCCAAGCAGUCGUCACCAGAGCCAGCAGGAUGCAGCGGAUAACUGAUCAUGGAAGGUAGUAUGUUUCAGAAGCCGGUGAUUAGCAUUAGAGCAGAGAAUUUCACUCCAUGUUCUUCAUAAGCUCUCAAGGUGAUUCUGAAAGUCACCAUGUUUGAGAAGCACUCUGCUGCUGACAUAGAAGCUGCCCUCAAUUUAUUGCUUUAUUUUUCAUCUCCUGUGUCACAUGCACCUGGCACCGAGAUAUGGGACAUAAACAAUGAAACUGCUGGCAAGAUGGUAACUUACGGCAGAGAUGAAACUCACCAUACACUCUAAAAGCAUGGACGCUGCUCAAGGAGGUUUCAGUCAUUGACAUACCAGAAACUUGGCUUCACUUGGCAGACUGCCCUGCUACCUCUUAGACUAAUGACACGAUGUCAUGUAUAAAUGACUUUCUCUGUUUCGUUUCAGUCACUCCCAGAAUGAUCAGGAACUCAUGUCAUCUGUAUUCAAUCUAACGUCCAGUUCAGAGAAAUAAUAACCUCAGUGAGGGUAAAGAAAGUAGGCUUUAGGCUUUUGGCUUCCAAGAUGAGCUAGGUUCAAGAACAGAAGAGGGAAAGGAACCCAAGAACAGGCAGUCCAGAUUCCAGGACAGAGUGGGAGCGAGAGGCAAGAUUCAGCAUGUCUGGUGCCGGAAAGGGGGCCACAGGGGCUGGGACGUGGGGAGCACCACCAUGAAGUUAAAGCGGAAAGUAAAAUUUCAGAUGGAAUAAAGGGAGACUCAGAGUCAUCUGUUGGCAGUGUUGGUUUAGUCUUAAUUUGAAACACAUUUCGUGAAUCCCUUCCAUUUCCUCUGUGCAAAACCCAAAAGCUUUCAUACCUGCAUUUCUCUUCCCAAGAGGCAAGCCCCCAACUUCCUCGAGUGACUGAAUCUCCUACAAGCACUCCGUUCUGCUUUAGAGGGAAAUAAAGUAUCCUGGCUAGCA